CAUUGCUACGCUUGCGCAAGCGCCGUCCAAAUGAGUUUAUUCAUAAUGUUUGACAUUCUUGUGAUUCAUGUUGUCCAGAGAGAGGUGAGUUUGUUCUGAAUGUAUGCAAACAUGGUAUGAUUGGUAGACAAAUAAUGUAGCUUCAAAUUAUGUAAAUUGUAAUUCCUACAUGACCACUACAGAAGUGUCAUAGUAAAAAGUGUUAGGCCUACAUGUGAAAAUGUCAUGGGAUGCAUUUACUGUAUUUAUUGGUAGUUGGUAGACCACUGAUGGAAUCCAUAUCCUGGACCCUGUUUCAGAAAGCUGGUUUAACAAACUCUUGAGUUUUAAACCUGAACUCUAGGUUGACUAACUCUGAGCUGUCAAACUCAAGCGUUUUCAUUUUCAGAACAGGUGAUAACUCAGAGUUGAUUGAACUAAUUGUUAAGUUAACCCUGAGUGAAGCAUGUGCAUGAGGAGAUAAAAAGCCCUCAUGAAUGGAACACCGAUAACAUGAUUCAUCAUAGCAACAGGAGAAAAAAGGGCUUGAACCUCCUACUUCUCCCCAGUGGAGUUAGAAAUAUUAAUGAAUGCGUAUGCAGAAUAUGAGUUUAUAUUUAUUUUAAAAAGCAAUACAGUAGCAGCAGCAAAAGAGCGUGAGCUGGCGUGGCAGAAAAUUGCUGACCGAGUCAAUGCGUGCAACCCAACAGGCACAAAACGUACUUGGCAGCAACUGAAGAUGAAAUGUAAAAAUAUACUUCCAACUGGAUAAUGAUGGAGACACCUUGUCAGCUGCCACAGAGAGGGAAGAUACAGAGAGGUCUAUUGAGGUUUACACCUUAACAAUAACAUCGAACAGUUGAUGAUAGUGUUGUACCAUAAUAAAACUUGGUACCUUAUUUUUCUCUAACAGCAAUGCUGGAAUUUACAAUGAGGAAGAGGGGGGGUCCAUCCACUUCCACAGCACAACUUACCUCCUCCGUAAGAUGUUGUUCAGCAUUGGCCCAUUACUUAGAAUGAAACUAAGUAGACCUGGCACUGUGAAAUUCAAUGUCAUUUUGUAUUCCUGUGAAACAGCUGUACAGGGUGUACUUAGAGAAACAAAUUGACAAAUGUCAUCUAGAAAUUGUCCACAAGGCUGCAGAUGCAAAAGAUACAAAUAGAAAUACAACUGCUAGAACAUCAGUUUAAGGUGGAUGGUGGAUGAUUUUACUUGUUUGAACAACAUAAAACAAUACAAACUACUGUACUGCAUUUGUACUUGCAGGAAAUAAAGAAGACUUCAUAAAAAGAAAGGCAUAUUGUCUUAAUUUGACACUGGAGAGGUGAUGGGUCAAUCAGAAAUGAUGGUAGCAUAUUGUGUCUCUGAC